GCCAAGGCUUUGUAUGUGGGAAAGCCAUGGAAAAACAUGAAACGAUCAGAUGCAACAGUGUGUACCAAGUGCCCCCAACAAUACCUGACUUACUAAUAAGUGUGAGUGUUCCCUCAUAUUUCCUCCCCUACCAGAUAUUUGAGAUGAGGCAAUUGAAAACAGCUCCAGUAGACUCUGAAAGGAAUGGAGAGAAAGGGUGACUGAAAGAUUUUUUUAAAGACAGGAAAAUGAGUCUUCCCUUUCAGGGAAGGAGGACAGGGUGAUUUUGGCGUGGAGGGCAGAACCGAAUGAAUGCAGAAUGCAUGGU
rnacentral:lncRNA from 1 species